rnacentral:lncRNA from 1 species
ACAGAAGUGGCACUGGGGACAGAAGUGGCACUCGGGACAGAAGUGGCACUGGGGACAGAAGUGGCACUCGGGACAGAAUGGCACUCGGGACAGAAUGGCACUGGGGACAGCAGUGGCACUGGGAACAGCAGUGGCACUCGGGACAGAAUGGCACUGGGGACAGCAGUGGCACUCGGGACAGAAUGGCACAGGGGACAGCAGUGGCACUGGGGACAGCAGUGGCACUGGGAACUGCAGUGUCCCUCGGCGCUUCCUGGCAGCUCGGAGCGGCGCGGGGAUCGUCCGGCUGCCGUCCCCAGCCCCAGGCUCGCAGCAGCCCCGGGGGCUCCCCGUGGCAAUGCCACCCCCUCGCUGUCCCGUGCCACCCUCUCCGCAGAGCCCCUGCCCGGCGGCGCAGCGCACGGCACCGAAAGCACAGGCACAGAUUCAUUUUUGCAGGCACGGGGCCAAGGCUGCGACUGCUUCUCGUUAGGGACGCAGAGCUGGGAGGAAAUGGCCCCGCAGCGGGCUGGGAUUCCCGAGGGGAUGAGGAGAGAGCCAUCGCUGCCCGGGGAUGUCCUGUCCCUGCGGGUCUGAGCACCCAGGCGGGGGAGCGUCCCCUUGGCGCUGGCGCGGGGACAACAACGGUGUCCUGACCCCACGCUGACCGAUUCUCCCUCCAGGCUUUGUGCCAACAGCAGAGAGGGGGGAAAAGCUCCCGGCCAGCAGAUAGUCCCGGCGAGCCAGCGAGGAGCCUGGACGCGCUGCCAGCGUGGUGUGAGCGGCAACCAGAAACCGGCUGGAAACCAACGCGAGCGAACGCGGUGCCACCGAGGAGCGGCUGGGACGGGGACGGAGAUGAGCACGGCGCCCGGAGCAGGCGGGCCCUGAGCAGAACACCCAGGACAGAAAACUCCUGCACCCGUGCCGGACGCACAGCCAGGCUCCCGCCUCCCUGCGGCUGGGAUGGACCCACGGCUCCUGCAGCCCCCCGGUGCCCUCCCAGCCCGGCUGCGGUGCCCUCCCCCGAGCAGAAAACCCCUCCGGCUCCUGCCGGCACAGCCCUGGCGCCGGGAUCUCGUUGCUCGCACGGCAGAGCGCCAAGCGCUCCGGCCGGGAGCUGCAGGUGUUGGGCUGGCGGCAGCACGGCGCCCGGAGCAGGCGGGCCCUGAGCAGAACACCCAGGACAGAAAACUCCUGCACCCGUGCCGGACGCACAGCCAGGCUCCCGCCUCCCUGCGGCUGGGAUGGACCCACGGCUCCUGCAGCCCCCCGGUGCCCUCCCAGCCCGGCUGCGGUGCCCUCCCCCGAGCAGAAAACCCCUCCG